GAAAGCCUCAGACCGUACGACGUGAUGGACGUGAUCGAACAGUACUCGGCCGGACACCUGGAUAUGCUCGCCCGGAUCAAAAACCUGCAGUCAAGGCAAGCCAUCAAUGCACACCACUUUUUAGACGUAUACACACAAACACACAGUAUUUCAUGCGGACAACCUGCUCCAAUGGUUCUACAAUUGUUACAAUUGAUUAGCUGUCUAAUGGCCACAUUUGCUGGGUGACUGCAUUGUGUGCCAGGUCAAUGCACACAGGAUUUAAAACUGAAAUACAGUGAGGCAUAUUUGGACUGAAUAUUCCUGUAGCCCAGAGUCCAUCAUGCUUUGCUGUACUUUAGUGACGGUGUGCACCAGACAGUAGACCAAUAAACAUUACUGGUGCAGCUAUAUCUGCAGACUGGAUGAGUCCUUGGCGUUGUUCUUGUGUCUCAGUGUGUGGCAGUGUGUCCCGGGUGCGUGGAAACAUAUAUUGACAUUGUGUCUCAGGUUGGAAAACGGUGAAGGGGAUUUCCUGUAUCAAUUCAUAAAGGGUGUGAAUUGUGACUGGGUUUUUAAUAACAAAAGAAGGGUGCAAUCCUCACAUGAAGUCACUAGCGACAAAUCAGCAGGUAGAGGCAGCAACAAGGACAGUCAAGACAGCCAAUGCUAGUAGCUUAGCCAGGUAGUAAGUACUGCAGCCUGUAAAAUUAGUGUGGAUGGCAUGGGCUCUGUAUGGGUGAGGGUCAGAACAGAGCAUGAAAUAUGGUCAAAGCAGAAGAGGAGAGUCAGAGCAUUGGGUUGGUCAGUACAGGGGUUAGGAUUGGAGAAUGGGAUAGGUCAGUGCCAGGGGGUAUGAUCGGAGCAUUGGGUAGGUCUGUGCAGGGUAGGAUUGGAAGACUGGGUUGGUCAGUGCCAGGCGGUAUGAUCGAAACAUUGGGUAGGUAAUUGCAAGAAUAGGAUCGGAAGUUUGGGUAGGACUGUGCAUGGGGUAGGUCAGUGCAGGGUGUUUGGGUAGGUCUGUGCAUGGGGUAGGUCAGUGCAGGGUGUAUUCAGCAGUUUGGGUAGG